GACGAACGCUGGCGGCGUGCUUAACACAUGCGAGUCGAACGGAAAGGCCCUGCUUUUGUGGGGUGCUCGAGUGGCGAACGGGUGAGUAACACGUGAGUAACCUGCCCUUGACUUUGGGAUAUCUUCAGGAAACUGGGGCUAAUACCGGAUAGGAUCUCCUGCUGCAUGGUGGGCGUUGGAAAGUUUCGGCGGUUGUGGAUGGACUCGCGGCUUAUCAGCUUGUUGGUGGGGUAGUUGCUUACCAAGGCUUUGACGGGUAGCCGGCCUUAGAGGGUGACCGGCCACAUUGGGCCUGAGAUAGGGAGCAGAAUCCUACGGGAGGCAGCAGUGGGGAACAUGGCAGAAUGGGCGGACGCCUGAUGCAGCAACGCCGCGUGCGGGAUGACGGCCUUCGGGUUGUAAACCGAUGUCGCAGGUGACGAAGCGUGAGUGACGGUAAUGGGUAAAGAAGCACCGGCUAACUACGUG
rnacentral:rRNA from 1 species